GACGAACGCUGGCGGCGUGCUUAACACAUGCCAGUCGAACGAUGAAGCCUAGCUUGCUAGGUGGAUUAGUGGCGAACGGGUGAGUAAUACGUGAGUGACCUACCUUUGACUCUGGGAUAAGCCUGGGAAACUGGGUCUAAUACCGGAUACGACCAAUCUCCGCAUGGGGUGUUGGUGGAAAGCGUUAUGGAGUGGUUUUAGAUGGGCUCACGGCCUAUCAGCUUGUUGGUGAGGUAAUGGCUUACCAAGGCGACGACGGGUAGCCGGCCUGAGAGGGUGACCGGCCACACUGGGACUGAGACACGGCCCAGACUCCUACGGGAGGCAGCAGUGGGGAAUAUUGCACAAUGGGCGCAAGCCUGAUGCAGCGACGCCGCGUGAGGGAUGACGGCCUUCGGGUUGUAAACCUCUGUUAGCAUCGAAGAAGCGAAAGUGACGGUAGGUGCAGAGAAAGCGCCGGCUAACUACGUG
rnacentral:rRNA from 1 species